rnacentral:tRNA from 1 species
GGGAAAGUAGUCUAGAUUGGUAUGAUUCUGGGUUCGGAAUCCAGAGGUCGGGGGUUCAAAUCCCCCCUUUCCCA